GGCUCAGUGAUUGCAGCCAAAUACAUUGGCAGUAUACGCUAUGCUGAUCUCAGUUUGAUGAAAAUUUAAACUAUGAGAGCU